AUCUUCAAUCCUCUCCAAAAAGCCCGCGUUUUCUUCAGUAGAGGCUUGAGCGCACCUUUUCAACUCUCCAUACUUUAAGCAUGAAACAAACAGACUGCACUUAAAGGGUUGCUGAAAGCUGAAAUGUAUUUGAUUGCACCUGAAACAAGGUUAAGUCAGAACAAAAUUUUUUGGACAUUAUGGCUCCCUGGCAUCGGUGACUAUUCUUGUGAAUUGGCUCUCAUUACAUGAUCAAAGUAUGCCAGCCUUUCCCAUGCUAUCUUGCCUUUCAGGAACACACCACUUUUAAUUCUGUCUAGAACUUCCUUAUUCAUGGUUUUCACUAUCUAUGGUAUUUGUAGCAGCUUCCUCCAACACCACAAAUAUAUGCACAUAAACCUGGUCCACUCGCAUGGCA